rnacentral:rRNA from 1 species
UACAGAGGGGGCGAGCGUUGUUCGGAAUUACUGGGCGUAAAGGGCGCGUAGGCGGCCAACUAAGUCAGACGUGAAAUCCCUCGGCUCAACCGGGGAACUGCGUCUGAUACUGGAUGGCUUGAAUUCGGGAGAGGGAUGCGGAAUUCCAGGUGUAGCGGUGAAAUGCGUAGAUAUCUGGAGGAACACCGGUGGCGAAGGCGGCAUCCUGGACCGAGAUUGACGCUGAUGCGCGAAAGCUAGGGGAGCAAACGGG